GCACCAAGCUGGCGGGUAAUCCCCGUGUCGGUGUGAUGUGCUAGCUCGGAAGUGUUUUCUGCCGCUGUCAUGGUUCGUUCGCUAAACUGCAUCAUCGCUGUGUCCCAGAACAUGGGCAUCGGCAAGAAUGGGGACCUGCCCUGGCCCCUGCUCAGGAAUGAAUACAGGUAUUUCCAAAGAAUGACCACAACCUCUUCAGUAGAAGGUAAACAGAAUUUGGUGAUUAUGGGUAGGAAGACCUGGUUCUCCUUUCCAGAGAAGAAUCGACCUUUAAAGAACAGAAUUAAUAUAGUUCUCAGUAGAGAACUCAAGGAACCUCCACAGGGAGUGCAUUUUCUUGCCAAAAGUCUGGGUGAUGCCUUAAAACUCACUGAGCAACCAGAAUUAACAAAUAAAGUGGACAUGGUUUGGAUAGUGGGAGGCAGUUCUGUUUACAAGGAAGCCAGGAGCAAGCCAGGCCAUCUUAGUCUAUUUGUGACAAGGAUCAUGCAGGAAUUUGAAGGUGACACAAUUUUUCCAGAAAUUGAUUUGGAAAAAUAUAAAUUCCUCCCAGAAUAUCCAGGGGUUCCUUCUGAUGUCCAGGAGGAGAAAGGCAUUAAGCACAAAUUUGAAGUAUAUGAAAAGAACAAUUAAUGUGAAAACGUUUUCUGAUCUAUUUCAAGCCUCCUUCUCCCCCCCAAAAAAAAUUACCUAUUUUGUUUUUGUAUUUUUUUUUUGCGGUACGCGGG